CAACAACAAAAAAAACCAAAACAAAACACCAAAAAUCCCCCCCCAAAAAAAGGUGGGUGCUGGAGCUGAGAAAGAACUUUCCACAUCAUUUGGGAAAAUGCAGUGGUGCUGGAAAUACUGUGACAGAGACAAAUGCUACUGGUUGCCCAGUGAGAUUUUUUCCACCAUGAGUCUGUUAUAUUGAAUAUAUGAAGUAUGCUCAUUUUCCAGUGCCUGGGCAGUUUUUAAAGUAUAAGUUUGAGUACUGGAACAUUCAUAAUUAAAGUUUCUGGAUCAUUUGGGGAGUAGUUCACUUCUAUAACUAUUAUUUUUAAAUGUGGUAAAGAAUGUGUCUUUAUAGAAGGUAAAUCCUGCAAGUAUUGGAAGUGGGCUUGCUGGAGAUCAAAUCAGUGGGAAAAAGCAGUGGUAAUAAUGCAAAAUAGUCCUUUCCUCUAAUGGACAAAGUCUUCUGUGUGGAAGAAACUUUUUCAUUUGGUAUUCAGGUUUUUUUCUUCCACAAGGAUGACAUUUAUUCUGUAUGCACACACACACACACUGGCAGCUCAAGGACUUGGCUUUUUCAUUGUUUAAAAAUAGGAUUACAGUUUUGUUAAUCUGAUUAUGAAUCUAAACCAUGUGGGCCUGUCAAGUGGGCCCUCACCGGCUGGUCUGGGUGCUAAUCUCGCUGGAGGGAGUGGGAUGGGAGCGUGGAGAUGAGCACACACCAUGUGCAUCCUCUGCAGAUUUUGGAGAACCCUUGGAAUACUUCCUCCAGCCAUCCCACAACGAAUUGAAAACAUGCUGCAUAAAAAAUGCUUUCAUGCUUGUAGACUGUGUUACAAAAGAAAAAUAUCACAUCUUUGAAUAUAUAGUAACCAUGAUAUAUAGUGAUAGCUAUUGAGAUCAAGAGCUGUAUUAAUAGGGAAUGGCACUUAAAUGUGAUUAUGCAGUAUGACCUUUUGCUGCCAUCCAGAUUAAAAAUACACUCUAGGCAGGUAACAGUAUUAUAAUUCCACUGGAAGAACUAAGCCAUGCUCUUCAAGUUUUCUCUAAAUCUGCUUUUCCCCCUUUUUUUUUCCAGCAACUGCUCUAUGCACGAGAAGGAGAGGGGGCAGAAGCAGUAAAAGAGGCAUGUGCCUGCCUAGCACUUUGGAACGUCAAAUCCUGGCACCAGGAAAGCUGCCCUUCCUUCUCCUGCCCCUGCCCAAGCAUUCUCUGACCACCCCUGCACGUGGUGAGCUCCAGAACCACAACUGCUCUGGAAGGUGGGAACAUGCCCAGGAGAGCUCUGGGCUGAGGAGACCCAUCAGGGGAACGUGCUGCUCUGCUUCAUCAUUUCCAUGUGUGCUGCAGUCGCACGGAAUUCUCAGUUCUGAUGACUAACUUCUUUUCUUUGUGGGAAGAAGCCAACUGACAGCUCCUCAGCCCCAGCCCCAACCUUUUCCCUUUUUAUUGCCUUUUAACCACGCUAGCUCUGCCUUUUCCUGUAAUUCAUAGGCCACAGUGGCUCUCCCUUAAAUCAGGAGAUUUUUACAGCUGAUUUGAAGCAGGCAGAGGGUAAUCUCAUUCCUGCUCAUGGACUUGCCACAUGUGCCUCUCUUGGAAAGGAGUGGUCUUGCUUUUUUUUGUAGCUUGACUGUCUCUUGGUGUUGUGUAUUUCAGGACCUGAUGAUCAGGCUUGUGGGGAGAGGAGAGAAGCACAGUUUAAUGAAGAACCUUUUUUAAGUCCAAUAAAAGAUCCAUGUGUGCAUAGGGGCACAGGCUGAGUAUGACCCCGGGCUUCAUGGAAAGGGUCAGUGCACCAGUAGUUAGAAAUAAUUGUGAAGCAUUGCAAACCCUGGGAAGUAGAAAGGAAUAAUGUCCAGCUGGCCUUUGCCAAGCAAUGGUGUUCCUGCCCCUCCUGGCUUUACCUGCCUUGUGUGUAUUCCAGUUUGGACUGUUCUUCCUUUCUCUCUUUUUCGCCAUUUAGUUCUCUUCCUCUUCACACAAACACAUCUCACUCAGUAAAUCUGUGUUCUGCCCAUGGGCAAAUAAAAGGAGAUGUCCUGCUCUUC